rnacentral:rRNA from 1 species
AUUCAGUCAGGAGGGGCGGAGGUGCGAGAUGGUCGACAAUAACGGACCCAUUGAUCGGGCCGGGCCUACUCCACGGUCUCUGCCUUGCCUGACGCAUUUCUUCCCGCUCGAAGGACGCCGCAGCCGGUCGGGUAGCUGCGCGUGUCGGCCAUAAGGACGGACGACGGAAGGUGGCCGGUGGUGUUGCUUCGGCUUCGCCGCCGGUUGUUAUCCAGUCCGCCCGUGGCGCGACACCCGACCGAGGUUCCAUAAGGUCCGAGUCUGGGCCUUGCCGUCCCCUGCCCUAUCGGGGUAGCGUGCGACGCCGGCAGGCGCGUGGCGGCGACGUCGUUUCACUCUCUGUAGUGUGCGGCGCGUCGCUGUCGUCGUUGGCCGGAGCCGCCCCGCGGGGGUUCUGGCGGCUAGCGGCGAGUAGGUCGGUCACCCACCCGACCCGUCUUGAAACACGGACCAAGGAGUCUAACAUGUGCGCGAGUCACGGGGUCUUGUUCAGGCCCAGAGGCGCAAUGAAAGUGAAGGCCGGCGUCAAAGCCGGUCGUGUUGGGACUCCUCGCCCCCUGGCGGGGAAGCACCAACGACCCGUCCUAUCCGAUUCAUCGGUUGGGCGGAGUCUGAGCGUACACGUUGGGACCCGAAAGAUGGUGAACUAUGCCUGGGCAGGACGAAGCCAGAGGAAACUCUGGUGGAGGUCCGUAGCGGUUCUGACGUGCAAAU